rnacentral:pre_miRNA from 1 species
AUUACCUGGGGAUCUUGUUAAAAUGCAGAUUCUGAUUCAGAAGAUCUGGUUAGAGGUUUGAGAGUCUGCAUUUCUAGCAAGCUCCCUGGUGAUGCCAA